rnacentral:rRNA from 1 species
UACGUAGGCAGCGAGCGUUGUUCGGAAUUACUGGGCGUAAAGAGUGUGUAGGCGGUGUUCCAAGUCUGGUGUGAAAUCUCCCGGCUUAACUGGGAGGGUGCAUUAGAAACUGGAAUGCUAGAGGAUGGGAGAGGUAAGCGGAAUUCCUGGUGUAGCGGUGAAAUGCGUAGAUAUCAGGAGGAACACCUGUGGUGUAGACAGCUUACUGGACCAUUUCUGACGCUGAGACACGAAAGCGUGGGUAGCAAACAGG